rnacentral:rRNA from 1 species
AGACCCGAAACCCGGUGAUCUAGCCAUGGGCAGGUUGAAGGUUGGGUAACACUAACUGGAGGACCGAACCGACUAAUGUUGAAAAAUUAGCGGAUGACCUGUGGCUGGGGGUGAAAGGCCAAUCAAACCGGGAGAUAGCUGGUUCUCCCCGAAAGCUAUUUAGGUAGCGCCUCGUGAAUUCAUCUCCGGGGGUAGAGCACUGUUUCGGCUAGGGGGCCAUCCCGGCUUACCAACCCGAUGCAAACUGCGAAUACCGGAGAAUGUUAUCACGGGAGACACACGGCGGGUGCUAACGUCCGUCGUGAAGAGGGAAACAACCCAGACCGCCAGCUAAGGUCCCAAAGUCAUGGUUAAGUGGGAAACGAUGUGGGAAGGCCCAGACAGCCAGGAUGUUGGCUUAGAAGCAGCCAUCAUUUAAAGAAAGCGUAAUAGCUCACUGGUCGAGUCGGCCUGCGCGGAAGAUGUAACGGGGCUAAACCAUGCACCGAAGCUGCGGCAGCGACACUGUGUGUUGUUGGGUAGGGGAGCGUUCUGUAAGCCUGUGAAGGUGUGUCGUGAGGCAUGCUGGAGGUAUCAGAAGUGCGAAUGCUGACAUAAGUAACGAUAAAGCGGGUGAAAAGCCCGCUCGCCGGAAGACCAAGGGUUCCUGUCCAACGUUAAUCGGGGCAGGGUGAGUCGACCCCUAAGGCGAGGCCGAAAGGCGUAGUCGAUGGGAAACGGGUUAAUAUUCCCGUACUUGGUGUUACUGCGAAGGGGGGACGGAGAAGGCUAUGUUGGCCGGGCGACGGUUGUCCCGGUUUAAGCGUGUAGGUGUGUGUUCCAGGUAAAUCCGGUUCACUUUAACACUGAGGCGUGACGACGAGGCACUACGGUGCUGAAGCAACAAAUGCCCUGCUUCCAGGAAAAGCCUCUAAGCAUCAGGUAACAUCAAAUCGUACCCCAAACCGACACAGGUGGUCAGGUAGAGAAUACCAAGGCGCUUGAGAGAACUCGGGUGAAGGAACUAGGCAAAAUGGUGCCGUAACUUCGGGAGAAGGCACGCUGACACGUAGGUGAAG